rnacentral:rRNA from 1 species
AGAGUUUGAUCCUGGGCUCAGGAUGAACGCUGGCGGCGUGCCUAAUACAUGCAAGUCGAGCGAACGGACGAGAAGCUUGCUUCUCUGAUGUUAGCGGCGGACGGGUGAGUAACACGUGGAUAACCUACCUAUAAGACUGGGAUAACUUCGGGAAACCGGAGCUAAUACCGGAUAAUAUUUUGAACCGCAUGGUUCAAAAGUGAAAGACGGUCUUGCUGUCACUUAUAGAUGGAUCCGCGCUGCAUUAGCUAGUUGGUAAGGUAACGGCUUACCAAGGCAACGAUGCAUAGCCGACCUGAGAGGGUGAUCGGCCACACUGGAACUGAGACACGGUCCAGACUCCUACGGGAGGCAGCAGUAGGGAAUCUUCCGCAAUGGGCGAAAGCCUGACGGAGCAACGCCGCGUGAGUGAUGAAGGUCUUCGGAUCGUAAAACUCUGUUAUUAGGGAAGAACAUAUGUGUAAGUAACUGUGCACAUCUUGACGGUACCUAAUCAGAAAGCCACGGCUAACUACGUGCCAGCAGCCGCGGUAAUACGUAGGUGGCAAGCGUUAUCCGGAAUUAUUGGGCGUAAAGCGCGCGUAGGCGGUUUUUUAAGUCUGAUGUGAAAGCCCACGGCUCAACCGUGGAGGGUCAUUGGAAACUGGAAAACUUGAGUGCAGAAGAGGAAAGUGGAAUUCCAUGUGUAGCGGUGAAAUGCGCAGAGAUAUGGAGGAACACCAGUGGCGAAGGCGACUUUCUGGUCUGUAACUGACGCUGAUGUGCGAAAGCGUGGGGAUCAAACAGGAUUAGAUACCCUGGUAGUCCACGCCGUAAACGAUGAGUGCUAAGUGUUAGGGGGUUUCCGCCCCUUAGUGCUGCAGCUAACGCAUUAAGCACUCCGCCUGGGGAGUACGACCGCAAGGUUGAAACUCAAAGGAAUUGACGGGGACCCGCACAAGCGGUGGAGCAUGUGGUUUAAUUCGAAGCAACGCGAAGAACCUUACCAAAUCUUGACAUCCUUUGACAACUCUAGAGAUAGAGCCUUCCCCUUCGGGGGACAAAGUGACAGGUGGUGCAUGGUUGUCGUCAGCUCGUGUCGUGAGAUGUUGGGUUAAGUCCCGCAACGAGCGCAACCCUUAAGCUUAGUUGCCAUCAUUAAGUUGGGCACUCUAAGUUGACUGCCGGUGACAAACCGGAGGAAGGUGGGGAUGACGUCAAAUCAUCAUGCCCCUUAUGAUUUGGGCUACACACGUGCUACAAUGGACAAUACAAAGGGCAGCGAAACCGCGAGGUCAAGCAAAUCCCAUAAAGUUGUUCUCAGUUCGGAUUGUAGUCUGCAACUCGACUACAUGAAGCUGGAAUCGCUAGUAAUCGUAGAUCAGCAUGCUACGGUGAAUACGUUCCCGGGUCUUGUACACACCGCCCGUCACACCACGAGAGUUUGUAACACCCGAAGCCGGUGGAGUAACCUUUUAGGAGCUAGCCGUCGAAGGUGGGACAAAUGAUUGGGGUGAAGUCGUAACAAGGUAGCCGUAUCGGAAGGUGCGGCUG